rnacentral:tmRNA from 2 species
GGGGCUGACUGGUUUCGACGUUGGGACCUGGAAGUCGAGCGUGCGACCCGAGUUGUCUCGGACUCGUUAAACAGGGACACACAAAGAACCGCCGACAACGAGCAGUUCGCUCUCGCCGCCUGAUCCUUCAGGUGACGUAGAGGAAAAUCGUGACCAGCGAUGGCGCACGGGGCCGGACCCCCACAGCCCGGCAACAGAAGUGGGGGUGGACCGCAGGGAGAGACCGCUGACGGCGUGAAAGACCGCUGACGCCGGGGAAAGACCCGGCAGUGGGCCCUUCGGGGCCGGCCGACCCGCCGGUUCAGCUGCUGUGAGCUGAGAAGUCGGGAAUGGUCGUAGCAGGUUCGGUGACCACCUGGCGGACGGGGGUUCGAUUCCCCCCAGCUCCACGA